AGAGUUUGAUCCUGGCUCAGGACGAACGCUGGCGGCGUGCUUAACACAUGCAAGUCGAGCGGAGACAUGUAACGGAAGGCUUCGGCCGGAAGAUAUAUGUUUUAGCGGCGGACGGGUGAGUAACGCGUGAGCAACCUGUCCUUCACAGGGGGAUAAGAUACCGAAAGGUGUUCUAAUACCGCAUAAGACCACAACGUCACAUGGCGAAGGGGUCAAAGGAGCAAUCCGGUGAAGGGUGGGCUCGCGUCCGAUUAGAUAGUUGGUGAGGUAACGGCCCACCAAGUCGACGAUCGGUAGCCGACCUGAGAGGGUGAUCGGCCACAUUGGGACUGAGACACGGCCCAGACUCCUACGGGAGGCAGCAGUGGGGAAUAUUGGGCAAUGGGGGAAACCCUGACCCAGCAACGCCGCGUGGAGGAAGAAGGUCUUCGGAUCGUAAACUCCUGUCCUAAGAGACGAGCAGGAGACGGUAUCUUAGGAGGAAGCCCCGGCUAACUACGUGCCAGCAGCCGCGGUAAUACGUAGGGGGCAAGCGUUGUCCGGAAUGAUUGGGCGUAAAGGGCGCGUAGGCGGCCUUUCAAGUCUGAAGUGAAAUUCCCGUUUUUAAGAUGGGAACUGCUUUGGAAACUGUAAGGCUUGAGUGCAGGAGAGGUCAGUGGAAUUCCCAGUGUAGCGGUGAAAUGCGUAGAGAUUGGGAGGAACACCAGUGGCGAAGGCGACUGACUGGACUGUAACUGACGCUGAGGCGCGAAAGUGUGGGGAGCAAACAGGAUUAGAUACCCUGGUAGUCCACACUGUAAACGAUGAAUGCUAGGUGUAGGAGGUAUCGACCCCUUCUGUGCCGCAGUCAACACAAUAAGCAUUCCGCCUGGGGAGCACGGCCGCAAGGUUGAAACUCAAAGGAAUUGACGGGGGCCCGCACAAGCAGCGGAGCAUGUGGUUUAAUUCGACGCAACGCGAAGAACCUUACCUGAUCUUGACAUCGUAAGAACCUCACUGAAGGGUGAGGGUGCCUUCGGGAACUUACAGACAGGUGCUGCAUGGCUGUCGUCAGCUCGUGUCGUGAGAUGUUGGGUUAAGUCCCGCAACGAGCGCAACCCUUGUCCUUUGUUGCCAGCGGGUAAAGCCGGGAACUCAAAGGAGACUGCCAGUGACAAACUGGAGGAAGGCAGGGAUGACGUCAAGUCAUCAUGGCCCUUACGGUCAGGGCUACACACGUGCUACAAUGGGGCGUACAGAGGGAAACGAUACCGCGAGGUGGAGUGGAACCCAAAAAGCGUCCCUAAGUUCGGAUUGGAGUCUGCAACUCGACUCCAUGAAGUCGGAAUCGCUAGUAAUCGCAAAUCAGAAUGUUGCGGUGAAUACGUUCCCGGGCCUUGUACACACCGCCCGUCACACCAUGGGAGUGGAUUGCACCAGAAGUAGCUAGCUUAACUUUAUUGAGGGCGGUUACCACGGUGUGGUUUAUGACUGGGGUGAAGUCGUAACAAGGUAACCAUAGGGGAACCUGUGGUUGGAUCACCUCCUU
rnacentral:rRNA from 1 species